rnacentral:rRNA from 1 species
AUGAUGGAAGGCCAAGACCCUAUUCAAGGGUGUCGUGAAAUUCUAUGUGAAAACGGAUGGAGCCUUGUCAUUGAUGGUCUGCGGUCCAUUCAUGACUGGGACUUGAUAAAAUCAACCUUGUUAUCCUGGCCUGUAAGUCGUAGUAGCACUAUUGUCAUUACACGUGAAGAAAGCAUCGCCACAUAUUGUACAGAUGCGGAAGACUGUAUUCUCAACGUCAAGGGUCUAGAAGCCGACGAUGCCAUUUUUCUCUUCAGAAAGAUAACUUUGGACGAGAAGCAACUGCCCUCCCAGGCAGAGACAAUUUCAAGGCUUAUCAUGUCCAAAUGUGGCGGGCUUCCAGAAGUAAUAGUUGCCAUAGGCAAAUACGCCCGCAAACACAUAAGGAAUGAGAUGUUCUUGGAGUCUACAAAUGCAGGCUUCAUGGGAUGUUUAGAAACUAGCUCAGUUCUUCCUAGCUUAACAAGCCUAUUUUGUUGGAUGCAAUCAUACUUUGAUGCUUGCUCGGAUGAACUAAAGCCAUGCAUCUUCUAUAUGUCAGUCUUCCCAGCGGACCAGAGCAUUAGGCGGAAUCGCUUGCUCAGACGGUGGAUCGCAGACGGUUAUUCAUCUGGUGGUGGUGGCACCGCAGAGGAGAAGGUAGAAAAGCUCAUGUCUGAGUUGAUGAAGUUGAGCAUAUUAUAUCAGGAGCAACAGAAAUCAACAAUGAUAAGAAGCUACUUCAAAGUCAAUGGUUUCUUCCGUGAAUACAUCAAGUCACGGCCAAUGGAGGAUAACCUUGUGUUUGCACUAGAGGGGGAUUGCAGCCCCAGCUCACAGCUCACUGGACAACACCUAACCAUAAGCAGCAACUGGGAUAGAGAUGAUAUUGUAUUCAAGGGCCUGGACUUGUCAAGGCUACGGUCUUUGACAGUGUUCGGUGAGUGGAGAUCAUUCCUUGUAUGUGAUAAGAUGAAGCUGCUUCGGGUGCUUGACCUGGAGGGCACUAGUAGUACAUCAGAUGGUACUGCUAGUGUAACAGAUGAGGAUCUGGAGAAGAUCGUGAAGGAGUUUCCUCGCCUCAAGUUCAUGUCCUUGCGAGGAUGCGUGCACAUCACUCGUCUCCCAGAUUCAUUGGGUUCCAUGAGGCAGCUGGAGACUCUAGAUGUCAGGCACACCUCCAUAGUUGAGUUGUCACCUGCUAUCGUCACCAAGCUACACAAGUUGCAAUACAUUCGUGCCCGGAAACACCAUCAUCACAACCAAGGAGUGGAAGGAGCAAGAGAAGGAGAACAAGGAUUCAGAGUCGGAUGA